GAUGAACGCUGGCGGCGUGCCUAAUACAUGCAAGUCGAGCGAACGGACGAGAAGCUUGCUUCUCUGAUGUUAGCGGCGGACGGGUGAGUAACACGUGGAUAACCUACCUAUAAGACUGGGAUAACUUCGGGAAACCGGAGCUAAUACCGGAUAAUAUUUUGAACCGCAUGGUUCAAAAGUGAAAGACGGUCUUGCUGUCACUUAUAGAUGGAUCCGCGCUGCAUUAGCUAGUUGGUAAGGUAACGGCUUACCAAGGCAACGAUGCAUAGCCGACCUGAGAGGGUGAUCGGCCACACUGGAACUGAGACAAGGUCCAGACUCCUACGGGAGGCAGCAGUAGGGAAUCUUCCGCAACGGGCGAAAGCCUGACGGAGCAACGCCGCGUGAGUGAUGAAGGUCUUCGGAUCGUAAAACUCUGUUAUUAGGGAAGAACAUAUGUGUAAGUAACUGUGCACAUCUUGACGGUACCUAAUCAGAAAGCCACGGCUAACUACGUG
rnacentral:rRNA from 1 species